UUUUUAGCAAAAGACUGCAAGAGUGAAGGAUGUCUUUUGCCAUAUUUUUACAAAUGGAUCACGCUUGCUUUACAAAGUACUAGAAAGAUCCCUGUAAAAACAGUACUACAAGAUUUGUAACACAAGAUCGCACAGAAGCUGUACUGAUCUACACAGGAAGUUUUGCUACUUGUAAGAAAAUAAAAAUGAACUCUAACUUGGAGAAUCAACAUAUGUUUCUUUCCGUUGAUUACAUUCAAUUCAUGUAUGUACAGAAGAAACAAAAUUGCAACUCCACCAUUGACUAGUCCAUGGCUGAAUAGCCGAACUUCACAGAAUGACAUUUUUCGAACUUAGCCGAGGAAUCAUUUUCUCAAAUUCACGUUUGAACUCCAUUUGGAAAAUUUCAAGCUCCUCUCUGGGAGGUGUUGGCUGAUUUCCUCAGGGUGAUGAGCUUCUGAAGAUAGUGGUGCAAUCGCUCGAUGACAAAUGCGAUGAAUAGUGUGUAUCCUACAAGGAGCGAUAAGCUGUUAGAAAUGUUUAGCUUUGAACUUGAAUAAAAUAUAGGAACUGUGCUGAGUUUAUUUUCAUAUUUCUGCUAGCAUGCAUCAAGACAUUUUAUAUAUGGUUUUUACACUGCCAAUCCAGACUAGAUACUUCCAAAUCCUAAAAAACUUUAUUACAAUAGUCAGGAGUGAACUCAUACAUGUAUAUCUACUAAUAAACACCAACAAGAAAUUACAACAGCAGAGAUAUAAUCUAAAACUCAUGGCAUAUAUCUUUAUAUUCAUCAAGUUGAAAUCAACAAAAUUUAGAAUUUCCAAACACCAAAGGGCAAAAAAUGGUGAAAAUAGUCUCAAGAUUUACGGUCUAUGUCCACCGAGAGUUUUGUUGUUAAUAAUACCAAUAGAAGCUUUUCCAACAAAGCAUUCUCUAAUGCAAAUCUUCCUAGCAACCUCACCCAAUGACAUUUAUGCAUUAGCUCUGGUUUGAUUUGAAACUAAAUUAAAUGAAAUUUGAGAAAAGCUGUUAGGAGGAUAGGAAACCAUUUCCCAAACAAGAAAAAUAAACAAGUACAAGCAUGAGUAUAGCAAGAGGAGUUGUUAGCAUGUUUAUCUGAAUGCGUAUGUUUGUUCAGUACACCAUGUGAUGCAAGUACCAACUCUUUUUCUCUCUGAAACAAGCAAGAUUCACACAAACAUCCUGCAUUUCUAGCAUCAGAAGUUACUUGUCAUGAACUGACAGAUUUACACAAGUAGACCAACCAAUGGUGAAAUCUAUUAAUUGUUUUAAGGAAUCAAUAAUUUGGUACCCGCUGGGGAUUCAUGUGUUUCGUUGUACUGAAUUUAAUAACAAAAAUGCAGAUUCAUACAGAAAACAACCCAAAAGAAGUGAUGUCACCGUGUCCCGUUGCAGCUCAGCGUGUGUAGUGUACUUGCACUUACGAUCAACCAUUUUUUUGACUAGAUAUUUCAUGGGAGUCUAGGGUGCUGGCAAGGGUGAUCAGCUUGAGCGUUGCAUCAUCGAACGGCCUUGUGUGGAGGCAGUAAACGGCCUGGGCCAUGAAGGUUCAAGCAGGUUCAAGAAGUGGUGUUGAGAGGCUGUGUGGGACUAUAUUUUGUAGUGUCUGAAGAAGUUCAGUAGCUGCUCACCACGCACACCUACUCAACUGCUUCAUGCCACCGUCC
rnacentral:lncRNA from 1 species